GAUGAACGCUGGCGGCGUGCUUAACACAUGCAAGUCGAACGAUGAAGCUCUGCUUGCUGGGUGGCAUAGUGGCGAACGGGUGGGUAACACGUGAGUAAACUGCCCUUAACUCUGGGAUAAGGCUGGGAAACGAGGUCUAAUAGCGGAUAGGAGCGACUACCUCCUGGUGGGUGUUGGAAAAAUUUAUCGGUUUUGGAUGUACUCGCGGCCUAUCAGCUUGUUGGUGAGGGCAUGGCUCACCAUGGCGACGACGGGGAGCCGGCCUGAGAGGGUGACCGGCCACCCUGGGCCUGCGACACGGCCCAGACUCCUACGGGAGGCAGAAGUCGGGAAUCUGGCCCAACGGGCCAACGCCUGUUGCAGCGACGCCGCGUGUGGAAUGACGGCCUUCGGGUUGUAAACCUCUGUCGGUAGGGAAGAAGCGAUAGUGACGGUACCUACAGAAGAAGCACCGGCUAACUACGUG
rnacentral:rRNA from 1 species